rnacentral:rRNA from 1 species
CCCGGGCGCAGCUACACAUGCAGUCGAGCGAGAACUUCGGUUCUAGCGGCGGACGGGUUAGUAACGCGUGGGAACGUGCCCUUCACUACGGAAUAGUCCCGGGAAACUGGGUUUAAUACCGUAUACGCCCUUCGGGGGAAAGAAUUUCGGUGAAGGAUCGGCCCGCGUUAGAUUAGAUAGUUGGUGGGGUAACGGCCUACCAAGUCUACGAUCUAUAGCUGGUUUUAGAGGAUGAUCAGCAACACUGGGACUGAGACACGGCCCAGACUCCUACGGGAGGCAGCAGUGGGGAAUCUUAGACAAUGGGCGCAAGCCUGAUCUAGCCAUGCCGCGUGAGUGAUGAAGGCCUUAGGGUCGUAAAGCUCUUUCGCCAGGGAUGAUAAUGACAGUACCUGGUAAAGAAACCCCGGCUAACUCCGUGCCAGCAGCCGCGGUAAUACGGAGGGGGUUAGCGUUGUUCGGAAUUACUGGGCGUAAAGCGCGCGUAGGCGGAUUGGAAAGUUGGGGGUGAAAUCCCAGGGCUCAACCCUGGAACUGCCUCCAAAACUAUCAGUCUAGAGUUCGAGAGAGGUGAGUGGAACUCCGAGUGUAGAGGUGAAAUUCGUAGAUAUUCGGAAGAACACCAGUGGCGAAGGCGGCUCACUGGCUCGAUACUGACGCUGAGGUGCGAAAGUGUGGGGAGCAAACAGGAUUAGAUACCCUGGUAGUCC